rnacentral:rRNA from 1 species
UACGUAGGGGGCAAGCGUUGUCCGGAAUUACUGGGCGCAAAGCGCACGCAGGCUGAAUUAUAAGUCGGUAGUCAAAGGCGGAGGCUCAACCUCUGUAUAUCUAUCGAUACUGUAAAUCUGGAGUAUGUGAGAGGGAAGCGGAAUCCCCGGUGUAGCGGUGAAAUGCGUAGAUAUCGGGAGGAACACCAGUGGCGAAGGCGGCUUCCUGGCACAAUACUGACGCUCAUGUGCGAAAGCUAGGGCAGCGAACGGGAUUAGA